rnacentral:lncRNA from 1 species
UGAGUGGUGCCAAGGUGAAUAAAGAUGCCUAAGUAAGUAAGGAGCACAUCUUUAAUCCCAGCACUUGAAAGGCAGAGGCUGGCAGAUCUUUGUGAGUUUGAAACCACCCGGGACAGCCAGGGGCUAUGGAGAGAAACCUCGUCUCCCCACCACCUGCUUCCGAGAAAAACCUAAUAAAAUGGGACACCUCUGGGGUCCUGCUUAUUGUUCUUCUUGUGCACCCCUCUACCUCGAGACCCUCUCAAGUCACAGUAUGUGACUGUGACCUGCUGGCAUCCAGCUGGUGAUCAGUUCCAUGAGACUUCAAAUGGGAGCUCCAGAAGGAACAAUGACAAAGAUAAUGCCAGUGGUCCUUGAGAAGCCUGUGGUGUUGGCUACUGUUUCAGCUGAGAAGACUGUGGCGUCCUGUUGGCUACUGUUUCAGAGCUGAAAAGCACAACAGUUGCAGAGGCAUCCUAGGGCCAUCUCUCCUGCUCCCUGUUAGGCACUCAGGUGACUGGAAUGAUUCCAGAGUCUCAGACCCCUCUUCGGGGCUUGUUCUGGGGGCACUGAGGAGCAAUGUAGAAGCCCUUGGCAUCUGGGGAUGACCAUGCAAGAGGGCUUGUUUUAUCUAAAUAUAGUAGUUUGGGAGAGCAUGUGUGGCAUGUGACUGUUUGUGUCCAAUUGGGUUGGGUUUUUACAAGACAGGGUUUCUGUGUGUGUAGCCCUGGCUGUCCUAGAACUCACUAUGUAGACAAGGUUGGCCUUGAACUCACAGAAAUCCUCCUGCCUCUGCCUCCAGAGUGCUGACAUUAAGGGCAUAUGCCACCACAGACUGGCCAUGUGACUGUUUUAAGUGUCUGGGCCCCUAGUGUGGUGGUGCGUACCUAUAACCCCAGACCCUGGGUUUAGUCAUGUUUUAUUUAUGUGCAUAUUUGUGUGCAGGUGCUCGUGGAAGCCAGCAGAGGGUGUAGGGUCUCCUGGAGCCACAUCUCUGGAGUUACAUGAAGUUGUGGACCUCUCAACAUGGGUUCUGGGAACUGAACCCAGGUCCUCUGGAAGGACAUCGAGUGCUCUUAACCACUGAGCCAUCUCUGCAGCCUAACCCCAUCCCUUGGAGGCUGAAGCAAAGCAAGUUCAAUGACCGUGCGACCUGGCUCUUGUUUGGGCCUAAGGAAAAGCCGACUGUAAGCCGGGAAGCAUCUCUGGCAAGAACAAGGAAGGAUUAAGCACGUCUGUGGUUGUGCGCAGGGAUCACAAGGUGCUCCUGCAGUGGGAAGAGCCACCACUAGGGGCGCUCCAAGUCUUGUAUUUUCUACCUUGAAAACUCGUUUCCCUGUGGCUGCCCUCCAAAUCCAACGGAGAUGAAUGGCUUUUAGUUUACCUAGCUGAUUUAAUAAACUUUAAAAAUAAA